UUUAAGUUGAACAAAACAAACAACUUAAUACUUAUUUUCUGAGAUUCAGACAAAAAAACAAACAUAUUAUUCAGAUUCAGAUAUUCAGAUCUAUUUAAAAUUCAGACUAAUUCAUGUCUAUUCAGAUUUCAGACAAAAAAACAAACGCCACCUAAGCAUAGAAUAUUAGAUAAAAAAAAAGUGUCAUAAGAUGGUCAUCAGCUUAUGCUUAGCUAAUUUCUCUUUAAUUGCUAUAUUGCCUAGUUAAUCAUAUGAAAAAUGUGAUCAUAAACAUUAAAUUAUGGAUAAGGAUUUAGUGUUGAGUUAACUUUUUAUUGAGCACUGAAUCAAUAAUUGUUAGGUAAGAGAAAUAAAUAAAUAAAAAUUUCAAAUAAAUCUUGAUCACUGAUUCAGUACUCAGCAAAAAAAAAAAGAAGCUCAGAACUGAAUCAUAAUCCUAAAAUUAUAAGAAGCUCAGUAAAAUAGCAUAAAUAUAUAUACUAGAUUCAUAAACUCGUAGUACACAUUUGAAGCUAUACAGGAUUCCAUAUCCAUGUCCUGCAUGAACUCCUUUUAUUUAUUAUUUUAUUUGUAUGUUAUGUGUGUUGGGUAGCUUCAUGUAACCAGCAAGGGCCAUAUCAUUCGUCGUCCCACAUCACCUGCAUGCUGAGUGCCACGGUAGUCAACAGUAGCAAUGAGGUCAGUAUUCUUAUCCAGCAAGCCGACACUUGCGCCUAAACCGAAACUGCCCCAUCCGUAACUGGAUUUAUUGGAUUGCUGAAUAGCACUGUAGGACCCAAACUGGGGUCUGACUCUCUUGGUUGGCUGCGGCAGGGACAUUGUAAACAAAGGAAAUAAGGAGCUUAGGGUUUUUCUUUAGUUCUGUUUUUGUUUGCCUGGUAAUCAAAUCGAGUUUUGAAAUAUAUAUAGAGGCAACGUGCAAGUGGGAUUCCCUCGCUUUAAUUGAAUCAUCUUUGAAUAUGAUUCUGCAAUUGGAUAAUGAUAGUCACUAAUUCGAAGCUUGUUGAAAAAUAAGAAAACCACUUGCAUUUUGCUAACAAAUGUCAAGGUUAGCCGAAAUGUUGGAUUCAAAUUUGGAGAAUUUUUCAAGAUUGGCCAAAGAAAUACCAAACUCCUUGACAUAUUUGCAUGGGUUAGGUGGAAUAAUACUAAAUUCAAGCCUAUAAAUUGAAGCCAUUUCUUCAUUUAAUAGCAUCCCAAAAAUUGUUAAGCUUAUAAGUUUCUAAGCUUUUGAGAGAAGUGAGAGAAGUGUGUCUGGGGAAUUUAUCUUUCUUGCAGAGUGUGAGAGUACCGGAUAUAUUUGGGUUUCUGGGAAGUGAGAUUCGUUACUCAAAUAUUUAUACUUUAUUAAUUGUUAAAUAAACAAUUAUUCUUUCUUACCUCCGUGAAUGUAGGUUUAAUUACGGAACCACGUAAUUCUUGUGUCCUUUAUUUUUUUAUAAUUAUUUGGUGCGCUUGAUUCCGUAUUUCGCGCACAACAAGUGGUAUCAGAGCCGACGGUUCGUAUACAUACUGUUCACGUAUACGGUACUAUUCCCGUAUACGGUACUGUUCACGAAUACGGUGAAGACGGCCAUUUGUACUUGGGAGACAGUCUAUUGUAAGUAGUGUGUAUUUUUGCAUGUCUAUAAAAGUUCUAUCAACAAAGACGAUAAUAGUCUAAGGAUUCUGGUGUUUAAUUGGGACCGAGUUCCCGUCCAGUCUCCUGGAAACUUUCCUGGUGCAUUUAUUCAUGCGAAAUUAACAUCAUAGAGACUGUUUUUCAAGUGGAAAUAGUUCGUUGAGAAAAUGGUAGAAGGUGAAACUUCCAGAAUUGGAGAGAGAUCUACCGAGACUAUUUCAGGAGACACUUCAUGUGGGAGGCGAGAUUUGUCAAAUCGAUAUUCAUCACAUGUUAUAGGAGGCUAGAAAAUCGAUAUUGAAAAGUUUGAUGGGAAAAUCAACUUCGACAUGUGGAGGCGCGAAGUUAUGGAUGCUCUUAUUCAAAUCGAUCUUGAUGUUGUUUUGAAAAAUAAAAGACACUUGUAUGAUGAAGAGAUUUGGGAUCGUAUGAAUGAGAAAGCUUGUGGUCAGAUCAGAUCUUGUUUGACCAAAGAGGUGAAAUACUUGGUGAAAAAUGAGGAGUGUGCGGUGACUUUGUGGCGUACAUUGGAGGAGAAGUACCUGGUGAAAAGUCCUGAAAAUCGUCUUCAUGCAAUCAGCCAAGUAUAUGGUUUUCGAAUGAAGUCUGUGAUGUCAAUGCACGAUCAUGUCUUAAGAUUUGAAAAGUUACUUGCUAAUUUGAAGAAUCUUGAUGAAGAUAUUAAGGAUGAAGUUAAGGCUAUGAUUCUGUUACACUUACUACCAGAGGAAUAUAGCCAUUUUGUGACUACUUUGAUAUAUGGGAAGAGUGUAAUCGUCUUUAAAGAUGUUUAGACAGCAUUAACUAGCUUAGAGAUUCGGAAUAAUGAUAAAAAUUCUGAACGAGCAUCAUCUGAAGCUUUGGUGGGCAGAGAUUGGGUGAUGGAGAAACAGAAGAAACGUGGUGGAAAGAAUUCUCGAUCCAAAUCGAGAAGCAGAAAUAUAACUCAAGACGAGUGUGCCUUUUGUCAUGAAAAGGGCCAUUGGAGGAAAGAUUGUCCAAAGGCUCAAAAGAGAGAUGGGAAGAAACUAGCAGCAACAAACAUGGCACGGAAAGAUGAAGACUCUAAUUAUUCACUAAGUAUUACUCCUGCAGCAUACGUGGCUAGUUCGAGCGAGUGGAUACUUGAUACUGGAACAACCUAUCAUUUGUGUCCUAUUAAGGAAUGGUUUACGGAUUUUCAUAAUCUGAAAUCCGGUGCAGUUGUGAUGAGAAAUGAUCAACCUUGUUGCACAAUGAGGAUAAGAACAAUUCGACUCAAAAUGUUUGAUGGAAUGAUCAGAGAACUCAAAGAGGUUAGAUUUGUUCCAGUUUUAAAGAAAAAUCUAAUUUCUGUGGAUGCUUUGGAAGCUAAAGGCUACAAUGUUACCAUUGAAGAUGGCACAAUAAAGUUUACACAUGGGGUUAUGGUGAUUCUGCAAAGGGUUCGGCGUCACAAUCUGUACUAUUUGAAGGGAGGUACAGCUGAUGAAGCAAAUGUUGCUGAGACGCACAGUGACACUACCAAGCUAUAGCAUGUACGACUGGGACAUGCUAGAGAGAAGUCUUUACAAACUCUGAUGAGGCAUGGACUCUUAAAAGGUACCAAAACCUGUAAAUUAAAUUUCUGUGAGUAUUGUGUAGUAGGCAAGAAAACAAUGGUCAAGUUUGGUAAAGCUAAUCACGAUACUCGUGAGAUCCUUGAAUAUGUUCAUAGUGAUGUAUGGGGACCAACCAAAACUACAUCAAUUGGUGGAAGCCAUUAUUUUGUUACAUUUGUUGAUGAUUUCUCUAGACGUGUGUUGGUGUACACUAUACGAGCAAAGGAUGAGGUUCUAGAGAUUUUCGUGAAAUGGAAGAAAUUGGUGGAGACUCAAACUGGCAAAAAAAUCAAAGUAUUACGAUCUGAUAAUGGAGGUGAAUAUACUUCUGAUCCAUUCUUGCAAGUAUGCCAGAACAAGGGUAUUAAAAGACAUUUCACGGUGAGACAUACUCCGCAACAGAACGGUGUGGCUGAGCGUAUGAAUCGUACUUUACUGGAGAAAGUACAGUGUAUGUUAUCUAAUGCUGGUUUAGAUAAAAAGUUUUUGGCUGAAGCUGUGAGCUACGCAAGUCACUUGGUAAAUCGGUUGCCUUCUACUGUAAUUGGAGGUAAAACUCCUAUGGAAAUGUGGUCUAGAAAGCAUGCACAAGACUAUGAUUCCCUUCGUAUAUUCGGGUGUCCAGCUUAUUAUCAUGUCAAAGAUGGUAAACUGGAUGCUCGUGCUAGAAAAGCUAUUUUUGUGGAAUUCAAAGGUGGAGUAAAGGGCUUCAAGCUCUGGGAUCUCGAAGACAAAAAGUUUGUGUGUAGCAGAGAUGUCACAUUUGAUGAAGCUUCAAUGAUGAAAGCUUCAAGUUCUCAGUAGGUGGAGAACAAGACCAAAGAGGUAUUGCAGUGGGUGGAGUUUAAUGCAACUCCAUAUUUACCAGUUAGUUCUACAUCAAAGAAGGGUUCAACUAUGGAGGUGACACCUAGAGUUGAAGAAGAGGUUGUUUCUUCUGAUGUCCCACAAAAUUAAGAAACAAUUGAUGAUGAUGAUUUUAUAGCAACAAGGAAGCCAAGAAGAGAGAUAAAGAAACCUGGAUGGCUUACUAAAGAUAUGGUGGUAGCUUAUACACUUCCAGUUAUUGAUGAUGACAUCCCUAACACUUUCGGUGAAGUAUUACGCAGCAGUGAAAGUGAUCAGUGGAAGUUAGCCAUGGAGGAAGAGAUGAAAUCUCUCCAUCAAAACCAGACUUGGGAACUUGUAAAGUUACCAAAGGGGAAAAGGGCUAUUGGUAAUAAAUGAGUCUACACCAAAAAGCAAGGAUCUUCGACUCAAACAACUCCUCGAUACAAGGCAAGGCUCGUGGCAAAAGGUUUUGCUCAAAAGGAAGGUAUUGACUACAAUGAAGUUUUCUCUCCAGUUGUAAAACAUACUUCCAUUCAUAUCCUACCUGCCUUAGUUGCAAAAUAUGAGUUAGAGUUGACUCAAUUGGAUGUUAAGACGGCGUUCUUACAUGGAGAUUGGAGGAGGAAAUCUAUAUGAUUCAGCCUUGUGGUUUCAAAGUUGUUGGAAAGGAAAAUCGUGUGUGCAGAUUGAGUAAAUCUUUAUAUGGAUUGAAACUAAUUCUUCGAAUACGUUGAGUUUGGAGAAUUUUGAACUACAGUUGGCUUGAUCCCAAAUUUUGGGUACGUAGGCAGUUAUAGAGAUGCAGCCACUUUGGAGAUGAUGGUUCGUUGGUAGUUGGCUCAGAUUUGGACAAAUUUUCGCCGAAGUGGAGAAUUGUUGAAAAAUAAGAAAACCACUUGCAUUUUGCUAACAAAUGUCAAGGUUAGCCGAAAUGUUGGAUUCAAAUUUGGAGAAUUUUUCAAGAUUGGCCAAAGAAAUACCAAACUCCUUGACAUAUUUGAAAUAUAAGUGUGCAACCCAAGAGGGGGGUGAAUUGGAAUUUUAAAAAUUAUCCUAGCAAAUCCACACAAUAAGCAAUCUAAUGUCUUAAUAAAAAUUGAAAGCAAUAAGUUCAAUAAAAGCACAACAACUAAUGAGUAAGGGAGAAGAGAAACAAACACACGAAUUUUUACGUGGUUCGUCAAAUCCCGCCUACGUCCACGCCUCCAAGCGAUCCAAGCUUGAGGAUUUCACUAUCCAAGCCUUUCCAAGACUUUAACAGUUUACAAUUGACUUCAAGGUGUCAAUAAACCUUUACAACAAAGAGAUUAUCUCCCAAUCUCUUCACUCAAGUGUCUCACACACUCAAACUCUUACAAUUAAGAUGAAGAAAUGAAAGUUACAAUGAAACUCACUCAAUGAGUAGAUAUUCAAAAAUGAAGAACAAGAAAUGAUUCAAUGUUUUGUGUUUUGCAAGUUGAAGGCUUACGAUAUCUCGUGUGCUUUUUGCUUUUGUUUGUAUGGAACCUUGAAAAUGNNNNNNNNNNNNNNNNNNNNNNNNNNNNNNNNNNNNNNNNNNNNNNNNNNNNNNNNNNNNNNNNNNNNNNNNNNNNNNNNNNNNNNNNNNNNNNNNNNNNGUUUUUGUUUGUGGAAAAGCUGAAAAAUGAGUGGAUUUUGAGUUUAUAUAGUUUGAGCUCAAAAACUAACUGUUAUGCACAUUUUGGUCGUAACCGGCUUGCCGUUUAUGGACAUCUGGUUAGCUGCUUAAGGUUACCGUUACAGCCACAAUUUUGAAUUUCUGAACAUCCGGUAUGCUGCUUUGUCAAAUUCGGAUAGCCGCUUAUACUCAAAAGCUUACUGCCUAACAAUCGGAUUACCGUUUGUUAGGAUCUGGUUAGCUGCUUGCUACAGUAACUGCUACAGUGAAAUAUUUUUUAAUUUUACAGUUUGACCCCAAAACUUUAUAAAAAUUAUAUUAUGGCUCAAAACGUUAUGAAACUUUGCAAAUAGGUCCAAUUUCAGAAUUUCUAAAUAUUACUUUGUCAAUCCCAAAACUUUCUAAAAUUAUGAUUUCACUCAAACUAUGUGAAAUUAUAGAAUGACCCAAAAUAUUUAAAUAGUUUCAAAUAGGUCCAAAUCCAAAAUUUAAAACAAUAUCAAAGGUUUUAAAAUACAUUCAUUUUAGUCCAAAACACUUUGAUUCCAUAACAUCAUUUUCUUAUUAUAAAAACACAAUUCAUAAAUCUUUGUUUAAUCAAUACAUGUGGUUUGUUAUCAUCAAAAUCAAUAUCUAUAGCCAUAUAAGCUAACAAUAUUUGCAUGGGUUAGGUAGAAUAGUGUUUGGGUUAGGUGGAAUAGUACUAAAUUCAAGCCUAUAAAUUGAAGCCAUUUCUUCAUUUAAUAGCAUCCCAAAAAUUGUUAAGCUUAUAAGUUUCUAAGCUUUUGAGAGAAGUGAGAAAAGUGUGUCUGGGGAAUUUAUCUUUCUUGCAGAGUGUGAAAGUACUGAGUAUAUUUGGGUUUGUGGGAAGUGAGAUUCGUUACUCAAAUAUUUGUACUCUAUUAAUUGUUAAAUAAACAAUUAUUAUUUCUUGCCUCCGUGGAUGUAGGUUUAAUUACCGAACCACGUAAUUCUUGUGUCUUUUAUUUUUCUAUAAUUAUUUGGUGCGCUUAAUUCUGCAUUCCGCGCACAACAAAGCUAUCAUUUAUUUGAUCGCAUGUGUGAUAAUAUUUUUUCAGAAUAAGUUUUGGCUCUUAUUCUGAAAAAUAAAUAGGUAAAGUAAUUAUUCUUUCGUGACUGAAAUUAUAUGAUGAAUUCAAGUUAGCUAUAAAUCAAAAUUUUAGUCUCUUUCAACCAAUGUUAUCUUGCCUUUGAUCACAACGUUUUGGGCGGACAUGACAUCGUAGCUGAAACCUCAACCAUACCGCAGUGAUUGAGGUCUUGACUAUUGAGAAGUGAAGGAGCCAAAAUUCCUUUAAAACCUGCAGUCACGAUUCGCUUCAUUAUCUUCAAGCUUCCAAACCUUCAAACAUCGGUACUGGCAGGCACUCAACCCUCAAAUCAACAUUUGAUUAAUCAGAUAAUAGAAAAAACUCUGAAGAAAAAUAUAGUUUUGAGUCCUGAGAGCGUCUAUCCCACUCUCUACUCUAUUCAUGAGAGAGAUUCUGGUAAUUCCUUUGAAAAAAAUUUUAUGUCUUGAUUCCUUUCAGUUAAUUCAAGGCCACCGUUUAUGGGCACUUUCAGCUAGAGGGAGAUUAAAUCUUUGAAUCUAUUCUCAGGCAUUCUUUUAUUUUUUGCAUUAAUCUGGUCUUUUUCGGUUAUUUAUUUCUUGCCAGGUGUUAAUUGACUUACAAGUCUUUGUGAUACUG
rnacentral:lncRNA from 1 species